UACAGAGGGGGCAAGCGUUGUUCGGAAUUACUGGGCGUAAAGGGCGCGUAGGCGGCCUCUUAAGUCGAACGUGAAAUCCCCGGGCUUAACCCGGGAACUGCGUCCGAUACUGGGAGGCUUGAAUUCGGGAGAGGGAUGCGGAAUUCCAGGUGUAGCGGUGAAAUGCGUAGAUAUCUGGAGGAACACCGGUGGCGAAGGCGGCAUCCUGGACCGAGAUUGACGCUGAUGCGCGAAAGCCAGGGGAGCAAACGGG
rnacentral:rRNA from 1 species